rnacentral:rRNA from 1 species
GACGAACGCUGGCGGCGUGCUUAACACAUGCAAGUCGAACGGAAAGGCCUUCCUUUUGUGGGGGGCUCCAGUGGCGAACGGGUGGGUAACACGUGAGUAACCUGCCCUUGACCUUGGGAUAACUUCAGGAAACUGGGGCUACUACCGGUUAGGAGCUCCUGCUCCAUGGUGGGGGUUGGAAAGUUUCGGCGGUUGGGGAUGGACUCGCGGCUUAUCAGCUUGCUGGUGGGGUAGUGGCUUACCAAGGCUUUGACGGGUAGCCGGCCUGAGAGGGUGACCGGCCACAUUGGGACUGCGAUACGGCCCAGACUCCUACGGGAGGCAGCAGUGGGGAAUAUUGCACAAUGGGCGGAAGCCUGAUGCAGCAACGCCGCGUGCGGGAUGACGGCCUUCGGGUUGUAAACCGCUUUCGCCUGUGACGAAGCGUGAGUGACGGUAAUGGGUAAAGAAGCACCGGCUAACUACGUG